CUGCGGGAUGGGGAAGGGUGUGAGUGUGAGUGUGCUUCGGUGUGAGUCUGGGAAGGGGGUGGGGAGUUAAAAAGCUUAAAGACCUCUUAAAAAAAAACCCCACACCCAGGUUAUAAACUCAGACACCUCCACCCUGUUAAGAAUUCCCGACUAGUGGAUAGAGGUCGGAGGGGGAGGAACAUUCAUCCCUCCCCACCUACAAGACCCGGAGCUGGAGGACCUUCUUGGACCUGCCUUGAGCCCCGGCGGGGGCCGCGGCCAGCCGUGAUGGGGCCGGGCUAGGCGCGGGAGUCCUGAGCGGCCGCGAAGAGGCGCAAUCCACUCUUCCCCUAUCCAUCUCGGGCAUCUCUGGUGCUAGGGACGGGUGGUUCGACGGCGUCCGAGGCCCAGGCCUCUCCUGCCUCCCGCUCCGAAGACAGCCGGAGAGCGUGCAGCCGGAGGAUCUCUAAGCACGCAGGAGUUGGAGAUCCUCUGGGGUCAGAGAUGGAGGAACUGGGAAGGGAGGGGAUUCCCGAUUUUACCACCAUCUCUGUUAGACUCCAAAUGGAGCCAGAAGCAAAGGAGAAACUCCCAGUCCGCAUAAGCUUCAGACCCCGUAAAUUGGACCUGCCCCUGUCUACGGAGUUGGUGAGCUAUCAAGGCAGAGUUGAACAGUAACAGUAGCCCCACUUUGCCUGAGCUUUUGCUCUGGGCCAGCACUGUUCCCCGUGCCCCACAACCACACAGACAAGGAGGUGCCAGGUGGCCUGCCCAGGGUCAUUCAGCCGGCGGCGGCUGCAAAGCUCAGGGCAACCCAGGAGCCUGUUCCCGCUGUUUCCUCACCGUCCUGGACCUGACAGGGAGUUUGGAAUCCCACACCUUCGCAGCUGGAGAGCGUGCCUCAAGGGCCCAAAGGGGUCCACCAACUGGCUUGAAGACGCACAGCUGGCAAAUGGUAGACACAGGAUUCAUUCGACAGCUCACAGGCCUCAGAGUUCUCCCUCCCACAUCACCAACUCUGGCCUGAGCCCAGGGCCCCUGGCAGUCACUCUGGGGCGGGUGGAGGGGACGCUCGGCAGGUGUCCUCCAAGGGCAGCUUGGGGUUGGGGGGAUUGGCACAGGCUGGAGCUCAGGGAGAGAUGCUUUCAGGACUCCCAUGUCGCCAGGGGCAGCAGCCAGCGACUCAGCAGCCCCCACCCCUUCAUUAACUGCAAGAUAAACUGGAGCCACAAAAGGUCGGGGAGGGAGCCGGGACCCAGCUGCCAAGCAGGCCCAGUGGCAAGGAGAGAGGGGUGGCGGAGGGAGGAGGAGGAGUGAGGGGGACCCAGAAGCAGGGGGACCCCCAGAUCGCCCCGCCCUGCUUUGGGCACAAUGGGCUGUCAGACGGUGGGGAGGGACGGGACCCCUCGCACAGCCCCCUUGGCAGAGCCAAACCUGCUGUGGUAGAAUAGGGACACUGAGAAUGUGGUCUUGGGUGAGGCUGGCCAAGGGGGGAGUGGGGUUUUGAGAGAGAAAGGAGACAGUUGCUGCCUUCUGCAUUCUCUCUCCAUAGGAAAAGUUCCUAGCUCCUCUUUUCCAAGCAUUCCCCUCUCCUUUGUCCCAGGAGCCCCUGUGCAUGUCAGCAGUGCCUUCCCAGUGUGGCCUGGCCCAUCCUGUGCUCUGAGCUCACCUCUUUGCUGAAGAAGCUGGCCCCUGCCCUCCAGUCCCCUUCUGUCUUACCUUGUCAGAGCUGCUCUUAACAAAGCUCCAUAAAGCCUCUGGCCCAAACAAUACGAUUGAUUUUCUCACAGUUGUGGAGGUUCUAAGUGUCUGGGCAAGGUGUUGCCUCCCCAGCUUGUGAGUGACUUCUCACUUUGUCCUCACAGGGUCUUCCCUCUGUCCUAAGUUCCUUUUUAUGUUUAUGUUCUGUUUCGUUUUCAGUAUGGAAGGAUUAAACUCAGGCAGGGCCUUCACACUGAGCCACAUCCCUGUACUUCUUUUAUUGUUUUGAGAUAGCAUCUAAGUCACUAAGUUGACCAUGCUGGGCUUGAACUUGUGAUCCUUCCUGUCUCAAUCUCUCAGGGUGCUGAAUUUGCAGGCAUGCACCACCACACCAACUUCAUUUCUUCUUCUUUUUUUUUUUUUGGUAGUAGGGAUUGAACUCAGGACCUUGAGCUUGUGAGGCAGGCGGUGGAACCACUGAGCUAAAUCCCUGGCCCUUUCAUUUCCUCUUAUUGAAAGGACAUCUGUCCUAUUGGGUUAGAGCCCACUCUGAUAACUUAUUUAACUUAAUUAUCUCUCUAAAGGCCUUAUCCCCAAAUACAGUCAAUUCUGAGGUACUGGGGUUAACUCUUCAAUAUAUAAAGUUUGGGGGAUCCAGUUCAGCUCAUAAUAUCUGCCAUGUCCUGACCAGCCUGUUACAAGGUCCUGCAGAAACAAGAUUACCUCAGCCCCCCUCACAUAUCCAGGACCUCUCAGAAGUACCUAGUCACAUGGUCCCAUGUUACCUGCCAAAUAUAAACAGGCACUCAGGGAUGCCAGCUACUUGGUACCCAGUAUAGAGCUGAUCUCUGGCUGCUUUCUCAGCAAUUUGGGAGCCUCCUAUUGCAGAAUAAUAACUCUUCAGUUCCUUUGGUCCUUUAGGAAUCUCUUCUCUUCCUCCUUCAUAUGUUUCAAUUCCUUUAAAUAAUUUACUGUGAAUAGACUCAAAGUUUCCAAAAAUGAUAUAAAAAUGAAUAUAUUGGAGAGCCUUGUUCCUACCACCAGCCCC